GCCAUGACUUCUCAUCAUCCUCAAGAAAUUUUACCAGAGCAGGGAAUAAAAGAGAGAAGGAAGAUAUGGAAAGAGUGACCUUGACCAUUUACAACUAAGAAAACCAUGGGAAAAUAUAGCGAAGACCUACCAAUGUGAAGAAUGCAACACACUGAAGAACUUCAUUCAACAUCACAGUGUUCAUACAGGAGAUAUGCCAUGUAAAGAAUGUGAAAAAACUUCAAAUAAAAGCUCCAAUCUUAUUUGUCACUAGUGGACAUACACUGGAGAGAUGCCCCACAUAUGUAAACAAUUUUGCGAAGCUUUCAGUCAAAAACCAAGCCUUAAAAAUCACCAGAGAAUUCAUAUUGGAGAGAAGCCCUACAAAUGUAAAGUGUGUGGCAUGAGUUUUAAUAGAAACUCAAAUCUUGAUUUCCACAACAGGAUUCAUACUGGAGAGAAGCCCUACAAAUGUAAGUUGUGUGACAAGAGUUUUAAUCAAUCAUCAUCACUUACUCAGCACCAGCGAAUCCACACUGGAGAGAAGCCCUACAAAUGUGAAGAGUGUGGCAAAGCUUUUAAUAGCAUCUCACGUCUUAGUUGCCACAAGAGGAUUCAUACUGGUAAGAAGCCAUACAAAUGUGAAGAAUGUGGCAAGGAUUUUCAUCAACAAUCAUCACUUACUCGACACCAGAAAACCCAUCCUAGAGAGAAGUCCUAUAAAUGUGAAGAAUGGCAAACCUUUUAAAAUUGAAGAUCACAUCUUAGUAACAUUAUAGAGUAUACUGGAGAGAAGUUUUACAAGGAAAACAUUGCAUCCGUGUCUUUAACGAUGAACUACUGUGAAAUAAUGGUUGAUUCAACACUAUUUCACACCAGAGAGAUGAUAGCACAGAAAUUAUACAAGUGUAAAAUAGGUGUCAGUCUCCAACAGUUGUUCACACCCUACUCAAAACCUCAGAAUUCAUACAAGUAAGAGGACAUGUGGAAAAAUUUUUGCAAAGCUUUUGGACAUUGAUCAAACAUUUUUGAAACACUGGGUUUCUAUAUGGUAUAAAUCCUCCAAAGUAUGUGUCCAAGACUGUAUUCAAAUUUCAGACAUUUUUCAGUUUCUUACCUCAUACCUGUAGAAAAUGUGGAAUACCAUUUGUCCAAAGUAUGUACCUUAGAUAACAGCAAAAUAUUUACAAAAACACCUUGACAAGAAAUUUACUACAAAUUUUUAUACUUAUCUAUAGCCCAUUCCUUGAAGUAUUUGGGACCUAGGAGGGAAAAAAUCAUUUAAAUGUAGAAAAUGGGUAAUUGCUUUUGACAUUGGCUGAAAAUUUUCUUAACAUCUUUAGCUGAUAUUGUAGAAAUGAGGAAAUACAAAUAUAGAAUAGUGCAUCCCUAAAAGGAUAUAAUUUUACUAUAAAUCAAAAAAUUACUACAUAUUCUCAGUUUUCACAGCUGGAGUAAACAUAAUUCUCAUUGUUGAUUAUUGCAGAAGUCUCUUAAGGUUUAUAUGAAAUUUAAAUUUUUAGUUUUUAUUUUUGUACUUAAACUUAAGGACACUUAAUCAGUAAACUGCAUCCCCAGAUUUUUUUUUUCAUUUUUAUUUAAAGAUACGGUUUGCUAAGUUGAUUAGGGCCUCACCAAGGUAUGGUUUUUAACUUUCAAAGCUUCUCACGUCCCUAGGGUCACAGACAUGGACCACCAUGCCCGUUUUACAGAGGAUUUUUUACUUAUUUGCCUUACGGAUGCAAUUUGUUACUAAAUAAAGUGAAUUUCUUAAU